GAUGAACGCUGACAGAAUGCUUAACACAUGCAAGUCAACUUGAACUUCGGUUUGGGUGGCGGACGGGUGAGUAACGCGUAAAGAACUUGCCUCACAGCUAGGGACAACAUUUGGAAACGAAUGCUAAUACCUGAUAUUAUGAUUUUAGGGCAUCCUAGAAUUAUGAAAGCUAUAUGCGCUGUGAGAGAGCUUUGCGUCCCAUUAGCUAGUUGGAGAGGUAACGGCUCACCAAGGCGAUGAUGGGUAGCCGGCCUGAGAGGGUGAACGGCCACAAGGGGACUGAGACACGGCCCUUACUCCUACGGGAGGCAGCAGUGGGGAAUAUUGGACAAUGGACCAAGAGUCUGAUCCAGCAAUUCUGUGUGCACGAUGAAGUUUUUCGGAAUGUAAAGUGCUUUCAGUUGGGAAGAAAAAAAUGGCGGUACCAACAGAAGAAGUGACGGCUAAAUACGUG
rnacentral:rRNA from 1 species